GCUGGGUUUAGAACGUCGUGAGACAGUUCGGUCCCUAUCCGCUGUGCGCGUAGGAAUAUUGAGAAGGGCUGUCCCUAGUACGAGAGGACCGGGACGGACGAACCUCUGGUGUGCCAGUUGUUCUGCCAAGGGCAUGGCUGGUUGGCUACGUUCGGGAGGGAUAACCGCUGAAAGCAUCUAAGCGGGAAGCCUGCUUCGAGAUGAGUAUUCCCACCUCCUUGAGAGGGUAAGGCUCCCAGUAGACGACUGGGUUGAUAGGCCGGAUAUGGAAGCCCUGUAAGGGGUGGAGUUGACCGGUACUAAUAGGCCGAGGGCUUGUCCUCAGUUG
rnacentral:rRNA from 1 species